AAAGUGGGGAUUGUCCUUAAACUUGACUUCGAAAAAGCCUAUUACAAAGUAAACUGGGACUUCCUUCUUGAAUGUCAUAAAAUGCGUGGUUUUAAUGAAACCUGGUGUGGAUGGAUUAAACAAAUACUAUACGAGGGGACAGUUAGCAUUAAGUUGAAUAACUGUACGGGGCCAUACUUUCAAAGUGCUAAAGGGGUCCGCCAAGGCGACCCCCACUCUCCUUUCGUGUUCAACUUGGCUGUGGAAUGCCUCACCAAAAUGAUUAAAAACGCGCAAAAUAAUAAGUUGAUCACGGGUCUGGCGUCUGACCUUAUUCCUGAAGGGGUGGCUGUUCUGCAGUACGCAGAUGACACCAUCAUUUGCUUGGAG
rnacentral:rRNA from 1 species